rnacentral:rRNA from 1 species
GAUGAACGCUAGCGGCAGGCCUAAUACAUGCAAGACGAACGGUAAGCUUUGUAGCAAUACGGAGCCUAGAGUGUCGUAAGGGUGCGUAACACGUAUGCAAUCUACCCUGUACAGGAGUAUAGCUCCCCGAAAGGGGAAUUAACCCUCCAUAACAUAGUGAGUCGGCAUCGACUUAUUAUUAAAACUGAGGUGGUACAGGAUGAGCAUGCGUCUGAUUAGCUAGUUGGUAGUGUAAUGGACUACCAAGGCAAUGAUCAGUAGGGGAACUGAGGUUGAUCCCCCACACUGGCACUGAGAUACGGGCCAGACUCCUACGGGAGGCAGCAGUAGGGAAUAUUGGACAAUGGGUGAUAGCCUGAUCCAGCCAUGCCGCGUGCAGGAAGAAGGCCUUCUGGGUUGUAAACUGCUUUUAUCUGGGGAUAAAAAGGCCUUGCGAGGCAAACUGAAGGUACCAGAUGAAUAAGCCACGGCUAACUACGUGCCAGCCGCCGCGGUAA